rnacentral:rRNA from 1 species
UACAGAGGGUGCGAGCGUUAAUCGGAAUUACUGGGCGUAAAGCGUGCGCAGGCGGUUUUGUAAGCCAGAUGUGAAAUCCCCGGGUUUAACCUGGGAAUGGCAUUUGGGACUGCAAGGCUCGAGUGCGGCAGAGGAGACUGGAAUUCCUGGUGUAGCAGUGAAAUGCGUAGAUAUCAGGAGGAACACCGAUGGCGAAGGCGGGUCUCUGGGCAGUAACUGACGCUGAGGAGCGAAAGCGUGGGGAGCGAACAGG